GACGAACGCUGGCGGCGUGCUUAACACAUGCAAGUCGAACGGAAAGGCCCUGCUUUUGUUGGGUGCUCGAGUGGCGAACGGGUGAGUAACACGUGAGUAACCUGCCCUUGACUUUGGGAUAACUUCAGGAAACUGGGGCUAAUACCGGAUAUGAUCUCCUGCUGCAUGGUGUGCGUUGGAAAGUUUCGGCGUUUGGGGAUGUACUCGCGGCUUAUCAGCUUGUUGGUGGGGUAGUGGCUUACCAAGGCUUUGACGGGUAGCCGGCCUGAGAGGGUUACCGGGCACAAUGGGACUGAGAGAGGGCCCAGAAGCCUACGGGAGGCAGCAGUGGGGAAUAUUGCACAAUGGGCGGAAGCCAGAUGCAGAAACGCCGCGUGCGGGAUGACGGCCUUCGGGUUGUAAACAGAUUUCGACUGUGACGAAGAGUGAGUGACGGUAAUGGGUAAAGAAGCACCGGCUAACUACGUG
rnacentral:rRNA from 1 species